GAUAAUCAUCCCGAAGCGCCUUCCGGCCUGGGAGGCGCAGAUAAGGGCCGCGCAGUGGACUAGCAGCACUGAUUUGACGUCGGCAGCUGAUAGCUCAGCAGAUGACAGAAAUCGGGUGACACAAAAGGACGGCAAACUCCACUGCGGCAGUGUUACCCCUCCGAAGCCUCCUGCCAGCUCCCCCCUGCCCUGCGUGCAAGCUUGGGUUUUGGUCGCGCUGCCUGGCUCGUCCUGGCGCGGCUCCGGCGGCAGAUGAGCUGACGCACGGCUCGGCGUGGGAACGGCCUCGGCUGCGCUUUACCCGCGACGCUCGCUGCUGCGCCCGGCGCUGGUGAAAUCCCAGCCCCUUGUCUCGCACUGCCUGAGUUCUUCCAAAGCAAGAGAGAAGUCAGACCUAUUUGCCUGCAGGAAAGCAACCCAGAGCCUCUCGUCUCGUGUCCAAACGUACUGAGGUGGCAGCCCACUGGGCUGGCUGCUUGCAGUUUCGGGGAGGGGGGCUUCGCCGAGGCGGGAAUAGUGCCUUGUGGAUAUAAGCUGUGUGUUUCACCAGGGAAUCUCAAAUCACUUUGAAAGGAA